UACGUAGGCAGCAAGCGUUGUUCGGAAUUACUGGGCGUAAAGAGUGUGUAGGCGGUGCUCUAAGUUCGUUGUGAAAUCUCCCGGCUUAACUGGGAGGGUGCGGCGGAAACUGGAGUGCUUGAGCGCGGGAGAGGAAAGCGGAAUUCCUGGUGUAGCGGUGAAAUGCGUAGAUAUCAGGAGGAACACCUGUGGUGUAGACGGCUUUCUGGACCGUAGCUGACGCUGAGACACGAAAAGCGUGGGUAGCAAAACAGG
rnacentral:rRNA from 1 species